rnacentral:misc_RNA from 1 species
AAAAUCUCCUCCUCUCUUCAUCAGAAAAAAAGAAAAGAAAAAAACAUUGUUCUUUCCACCAUGGAUUCUGUACCAAAUCGUCAUCACCAGGCAUCCUAUGACAACCUCGAUUACGAGGUUGAUAUGGAUGUGGAAGGCGAUGAGGAUUCCACCUCUUCCCCCUCCAUCGCCGGUGAGGUGACCAUAGCCGUCGCCGGCGUGUCCACAGGAGAUUCCGGAGCUGGAAUGAUGAAUCCGGGCAAACGCCCAAGGAUUGACGACUUCGCCAUUCCGGUCAUUCUGCCCGGAGCGGUAAAGAAGCCAUCGGCUGGUUUUGACGAGUCUCGGAAGCUUUUCCAGAGGCUUUGGACGGAUGAAGACGAGAUUGAGCUGUUGCGUGGAUUUUUGGACUACACCACCCAGCGGGGCUUGAACACGUCUUCCCCGCAGCACCAUUACGACACGACUGCUUUUUAUGAGCAGAUCAAGAGCAAAUUUCAGCUGGAUUUUAACAAAAACCAGCUUGUGGAGAAACUCCGCCGACUGAAGAAGAAGUACAGGACUGUGGUGAGCAAGAUGGGAUCUGGGAAGGAUUUUGUUUUUAAAAGUGCUCAUGAUCAGGUAACUUUCGAUAUUUCUAACAGGAUCUGGAGUACUGGAGGUUCUUAUGCCCGUAGUAGCCCUGGAGGAGGUUCUGUUGGUUUCUCCGCCCCACCGCUAGAAGAUGGGGGUGUUGGAUUGGGAUUGGAGGAGGACUUGGAUGUUAACCCUAACCCGAAUCCUGAUUCAAUUGUGCUUUAUCAUAGCCCUAAGUUUAACCUUAACUCUAACCCUAAUGGAAUUGCCAUCAAAACCCCAAGAUCACAUAAAAGGUCCCCAAUACCUUUAGAAGCUGUUAAAGUUGAGCAUCAGCCUUUUCAGCCACCUGGGAUUCGCAUUAAUGUGCAAAUGCCGGCCACAAACUCCAACCCAGUAGCAGCUGUCCCUGCUGCACCACCAGUGUCUGGAGUUGCUGCACCACAGGUGUCUGGAGUUGCUACACCACCUGUUGGUGGAACUGCUGCACCUUUGGUGGCUGGAGUUGCUGCACCAGCUCCCACCACGGGGGCUGCUUCUGUGCCUAACCUUAUUGAGGAAACAGUGAGGAACUGUGUGUCACCUAUUUUCAAGGAGCUGUUGAACAAUGUGGCCAAUUUGAAUGGGUCUGCUAGAGGGUUUGGCUUUGGCUUUGGAGGAAUUGGGAUGAGUCCGAUGGGGCUGGGGAUGAGUCCAAUGGGGCUG